UCAUGUCGAUGCCGGCCUGGAUACACCGGUGUGAGCGGAAAAUGUGAAGAUAUAGAUGAAUGCUCUGUUUAUAGUUCUCCCUGCACUUCUUCUGGAAUUUGCAUCAAUACCCCGGGUGACUUUUCCUGUACGUGCCCUGAAGGGUAUGACUUUAAUCAAGAGAAAGAUAAAAGUGUGUCUUUAUGUAAAGAUAUAGAUGAAUGUUCUCUCUCCAAUUCUUCUUGCACUCCUCCUGCAAUUUGCAAAAAUGUUCCCGGCAACUUUUCCUGUAGUUGCCCUUCAGGGUAUGAGAU